UACGGGGGGAGCAAGCGUUGUUCGGAUUUACUGGGCGUAAAGGGCGCGUAGGCGGCCAGCACAAGUCAGUUGUGAAAUCUCCGAGCUUAACUCGGAAAGGUCAACUGAUACUGUGCGGCUAGAGUGCGGAAGGGGCAACUGGAAUUCUUGGUGUAGCGGUGAAAUGCGUAGAUAUCAAGAGGAACACCUGCGGCGAAGGCGGGUUGCUGGGCCGACACUGACGCUGAGGUGCGACAGCGUGGGGAGCGAACGGG
rnacentral:rRNA from 1 species